UCCAUUCCAUUUUAUUGGCAAGAGACAUCAGGAAAGUCAUAGAACAUGAUUUAUUGGCGCUUGUUGAUGAUUUUGGGAAAUUCAACGAUCAUCCCUGGGGAUAUGACAGCUAUUACUUGACUGUCAAAUAUUUACUGAAAAAGCUAAAGCCAAAGACUACCACAUUAUAUGGCUUUUCUUGGACUUUCAUGGUAAAUUGAUCAUUAUUUUU
rnacentral:lncRNA from 1 species